UACGGAGGGGGCUAGCGUUGUUCGGAAUUACUGGGCGUAAAGCGCACGUAGGCGGUCUUUUAAGUCAGAGGUGAAAGCCCGGGGCUCAACUCCGGAAUUGCCUUUGAAACUGGAAGACUUGAACACGGGAGAGGUGAGUGGAGUUCCGAGUGUAGAGGUGAAAUUCGUAGAUAUUCGGAGGAACACCAGUGGCGAAGGCGGCUCACUGGACCGUUGUUGACGCUGAGGUGCGAAAGCGUGGGGAGCAAACAGG
rnacentral:rRNA from 1 species